CUUAACGCGAAGAACCUUACCUACUCUUGACAUCCAGAGAACUUAGCAGAGAUGCUUUGGUGCCUUCGGGAACUCUGAGACAGGUGCUGCAUGGCUGUCGUCAGCUCGUGUUGUGAAAUGUUGGGUUAAGUCCCGCAACGAGCGCAACCCUUAUCCUUUGUUGCCAGCGAUUCGGUCGGGAACUCAAAGGAGACUGCCGGUGAUAAACCGGAGGAAGGUGGGGAUGACGUCAAGUCAUCAUGGCCCUUACGAGUAGGGCUACACACGUGCUACAAUGGCGCAUACAAAGAGAAGCGACCUCGCGAGAGCAAGCGGACCUCACAAAGUGCGUCGUAGUCCGGAUCGGAGUCUGCAACUCGACUCCGUGAAGUCGGAAUCGCUAGUAAUCGUGGAUCAGAAUGCCACGGUGAAUACGUUCCCGGGCCUUGUACACACCGAAG
rnacentral:rRNA from 1 species